ACGGGAGGCAGCAGUGGGGAAUAUUGCACAAUGGGCGCAAGCCUGAUGCAGCCAUGCCGCGUGUGUGAAGAAGGCCUUCGGGUUGUAAAGCACUUUCAGUCGUGAGGAAGGUGGUAGUGUUAAUAGCRCUAUCAUUUGACGUUAGCGACAGAAGAAGCACCGGCUAACUCCGUGCCAGCAGCCGCGGUAAUACGGAGGGUGCGAGCGUUAAUCGGAAUUACUGGGCGUAAAGCGCAUGCAGGUGGUUUGUUAAGUCAGAUGUGAAAGCCCGGGGCUCAACCUCGGAACUGCAUUUGAAACUGGCAGACUAGAGUACUGUAGAGGGGGGGUAGAAUUUCAGGUGUAGCGGUGAAAUGCGUAGAGAUCUGAAGGAAUACCGGUGGCGAAGGCGGCCCCCUGGACAGAUACUGACACUCAGAUGCGAAAGCGUGGGGAGCAAACAGGAUUAGAUACCCUGGUAGUCCACGCUGUAAACGAUGUCUACUUGGAGGUUGUGGCCUUGAGCCGUGGCUUUCGGAGCUAACGCGUUAAGUAGACCGCCUGGGGAGUACGGUCGCAAGAUUAAAACUCAAAUGAA
rnacentral:rRNA from 1 species